AUGGGGCUGAGAACCUCAAUCUUUUUCUCAACAGAGAGACAUUUGUGCACAUCUGGAAAUAUAAAGCUACAUUUAAACACUAGGAAACUGAAUAGUAUAAAAAGACCUGGGUGUCUGCUACCUAACAAAAUAGGAAAAGAAAAAGAGAUGACUAAGACAAAGGAAUGUAACUGCUUCUUUAACUCUCUUACUCCUUCACACUUGCGGAAGAGAGAGCCAGUCUUGGUGGCUGCAGAGUCCUGGAGCUGUCCACAAGGAACUGGGAAGAAGGAGGAGGCAGUGACCAGGGUGCAGGAGAUCUUCUGGCACUGCUGGAUCACUGCCUGUCCUGAGGCUGAGGGGAAUUUCCCUGUUAUUCCCCCUUACCAGAUAUUAAGCAAAUAAGCAAGAAAUGACAAUGUGCCUCUCCAAUCAAGACUUUUUCAGCAGUAUUAAAACUAAAGUUACUUCUCAUCAAGUGCCAGAAGAAACGUUGCUCACUGUAUACUGUGAGAAAGAGAAUUUUCUAAUUCCUAUUUCUGCUCAGAUGUUGUACUUGCAUAUGCUACACAAAGAAAUUAAAAUUGAAGAUGGAGAACACAUAGGGUUACUUUUCUACAAUAGGCAGACCACUGGACAAAUCAAUAUCUGAGUUUCUAUUUGCUUUUUCCUGCUCCCUAGAUCAAAUAAAGCUAUUAAUUGGUGUUAUUCGUGGUGCUGU
rnacentral:lncRNA from 1 species